UUAUUCUUUGCAGGCUUCAACCGAGAACACAACGUUUACUUUCGACGAAAGGAUGACAAGUUUAUCUUUAAAGACUUUAAUUAUUUUGUUAGGAUUGAGAUAUUUUUGCAUGAAACAAUGGAGUGAUGACCAGAUCGUUAACUUUCUUGGGUUACCUGUGGUGACAUCGCUGAGGCCUCGACUUAUGCGACAAAAUGCUAUUCGUUUCGAUCGUACAGUACGUCAUUCUGGAAUACAUCGGCGGCAGCGUCUAGACAGCACUGGUGAUUAUUCUGGCAAAGCGGCAACACCAGUGAAGAGACAAUAUCCUUUUAACAAUGAUCUUCAAGUUGCCAAACGUGCAAAGGGGCCCAAUGUUCUACAACGUGGAUGAAGUGCAAGCAUAUUGAAAAGCUAGAGAUCAAGAUCUCAUUACAUAAGCUCUAGUAGAUAAAGAUUGUGAGUAUAACACCGAC